AUUGAACGCUGGCGGCAGGCCUAACACAUGCAAGUCGAACGCUCGUAGCAAUACGGGAGUGGCAGACGGGUGAGUAACACGUGGGAACCUUCCCUAUGGUUCGGAAUAGCUCAGGGAAACUUGGGGUAAUACCGGAUAAGCCCUUCGGGGGAAAGGAUUUAUCGCCAUUGGAUGGGCCCGCGUCGGAUUAGCUAGUUGGUGAGGUAACGGCUCACCAAGGCAACGAUCCGUAGCUGGUCUGAGAGGAUGAUCAGCCACACUGGGACUGAGACACGGCCCAGACUCCUACGGGAGGCAGCAGUCGGGAAUUUUGCCCAAUGGACGAAAGUCUGAGGCAGCAACUCCGCGUGAGGGAUGAAGGCUCUAGGGUCGUAAACCUCUUUCUCAGGGAAGAUCCAAGACGGUACCUGAGGAAUAAGCGACGGCUAACUACGUGCCAGCAGCCGCAAGU
rnacentral:rRNA from 1 species